rnacentral:rRNA from 1 species
AGCGAACGCUGGCGGCAGGCCUAACACAUGCAAGUCGAACGAAGUCUUCGGACUUAGUGGCGGACGGGUGAGUAACACGUGGGAACGUGCCUUUAGGUUCGGAAUAACUCAGGGAAACUUGUGCUAAUACCGAAUGUGCCCUUCCGGGGAAAGAUUUAUCGCCUUUAGAGCGGCCCGCGUUCGAUGAGCUAGUUGGUGAGGUAAAGGCUCACCAAGGCGACGAUCAGUAGCUGGUCUGAGAGGAUGAUCAGCCACAUUGGGACUGAGACACGGCCCAAACUCCUACGGGAGGCAGCAGUGGGGAAGCUUGCGCAAUGGGCGAAAGCCUGACGCAGCCAUACCGCGUGGAUGAUGAAGGUCUUAGGAUUGUAAAAUCCUUUCACCGGUGAAGAUAAUGACUGUAGCCGGAGAAGAAGCCCCGGCUAACUUCGUGCCAGCAGCCGCAGUAAGAC